GACGAACGCUGGCGGCGUGCUUAACACAUGCAAGUCGAACGGUAAGGCCCUUCGGGGUACACGAGUGGCGAACGGGUGAGUAACACGUGGGUGAUCUGCCCUGCACUUCGGGAUAAGCCUGGGAAACUGGGUCUAAUACCGGAUAGCACCACUGCCUGCAUGGGUGGUGGUGGAAAGCUUUUGCGGUGUGGGAUGGGCCCGCGGCCUAUCAGCUUGUUGGUGGGGUGAUGGCCUACCAGGGCGACGACGGGUAGCCGGCCUGAGAGGGUGACCGGCCACACUGGGACUGAGAUACGGCCCAGACUCCUACGGGAGGCAGCAGUGGGGAAUAUUGCACAAUGGGCGCAAGCCUGAUGCAGCGACGCCGCGUGAGGGAUGACGGCCUUCGGGUUGUAAACCUCUUUCAGCACCGACGAAGCGCAAGUGACGGUAGGUGCAGAAGAAGGACCGGCCAACUACGUGCCAGCAGCCGCAGUAACAC
rnacentral:rRNA from 1 species